GGUUUUUUGAAAAAAAAAUAAAAAAUCUGACCUGCCCAGUGAGAUUUUCUUAAACGGCCGCAAUAAUUUAAUUGUGCUAAGGUAGCAUAGUCAAUUGUCUAUUAAUUGUAGACUGGAAUGAAUGGUUGGACUUAAAAAUAAUUGUCUUAAAAUAAAAGUGAAUUUUUUAUUUUUAUGAGGAGAUAAAAAUGAGAUAAAAAGACGAGAAGACCCUAUCAAGUUUUAUAUAAAUUAUUUUAACAUAAAGAUAGUGACACAUAUAAUAUGAUAUAUUAUGCUGGGGUGGUAUUAAUUUUAAAAAACAAUUAAUAAGGAUAAAACUAAGUGAGUGAUUUAGAUCCAAUUAUAUUGAUUAAAAGUCUAAAUUACUGUAGGGAUAACAGCGUAAUUUUAUUUAGAAGUUCAUAUUUAUGAUAAAGUUUGCGACCUCGAUGUUGGUUUAGGAAACCUAUUAAGUGAAGGAAUUUAAUAAGGUGGACUGUUCGUCCAUAAAAAUCCUAUA
rnacentral:rRNA from 1 species